rnacentral:lncRNA from 1 species
GCCCUCUGAGGCCUUUGCUUAGGUUUGGAACUCUGGUUCAGCUUGCUGGUUCUUCUCUUCUUGCCCUGGGGACCCCCGUGCUCCUUUAGGGGUGCUGGGCAGAGCGCUGAGCUGGAGUCAGAGGACAGCUUCAUGAGCUCUGUGUGUUCUGUCAUGUAUGUACUCUUGCUUUAGUCCUCCUAAGAACACACGUGAAUGCAAACCUUACUGUGCCUGAUUCAUAGACGAGGAAACUGAGGCACAGCGGUGGUAAGCCAUGUGUUCACAAGGCAAGGAGUAAUGAAAUUAGGUUUAAAUGCAGGCCUGCCUAGACACAAAUCUUUAUAGCCCUUCACACACAUAUAUAUGCACACAUUCAUAAAGGCACACAUACCAGCCCACACAAGGGCAUCAAGAGCCAGACAGCUCAUAUUUUUCAAGAUUAUAUAGCUAUGAAAUACAAUAUUGAGGCCUGGUAUGAAAUACUAUUUAUGAUCUUUAGAGUAGAAAGCAUUUUUUAAAAACAUUUAAGGUAAUGUAACAAAUCAUAUCCACUAUUUUUCUGCCUCAAUAUCCAGAUUAAGUUACCCUUUUAAGUUAUGAUUGAUUUCCAUGUGAGCUAGUAUAUGGUUCUCAUAUUAUCACAUUACUUUUACAGAAAAAAUAGAAUGGGUAUUUUAAAAGUUGUGCUUUUUCAAUAUAUUUUUUUCCCCAUGGGAAAUCUGUGUGUGGCUAUUUGGGUCCCAGGGAAGACAUUUUCAAUUAUUUUUGUGUCAAUAAUCAGAUCUGAAAUUGCAGUAGCCCAGUGUGACCUAUUAAUAUCUGAACAAGUAAAGCUGUCUUAUAUUUAAAUAUAAAAAAGCAUGCAGUUCAUUGUUAGGCCUUUGAAUGGAAUUCAAGCUCUAUAAUCCUAACUUCAGCCUGCAUCCCUAAUAUGAACAGUUUGCAGGUUUUGAUAUGUCUGUUACCAGACAUGUGCUUAAAGUGUUAGUCUUCUAAAUUCAGAAGGGAGAAUGGGUACUCUAUUUGACACUGACUUAAGUAAAUAAAAUGCAUUAAACAAGCAUGGAGACCCAAGAACUAUCGAGACUGAAAUGCUUAGCAUUUUUGACAACAUCAGCAAAUUAUCCUUCCCCUACUAUUGUAAUGAGGAAAUCACUUAAAUAACAGAUGAACAGCGAAGUCGCAUAAACAUAUAUAAUAGAACUAUGUAAUGAAAGUUUAUGCUGUUAAUUGCUUGAAUCUGUCUUAAAUGGUUAGAAUCGUGGAGCUGUAAAGACUGUCAUAUAAGCGGUUUUGUGUUUGUUUUGAGCUUAAAAUUGUUCCUUUUCGCCUUCCUCUGUAUGAUAAACAAAGUAAUUCUCUAAGCUUUACAGAUCAAACAUUUACUUCUAAUGGUAAACUCCAUUUUUAUAUUGGGAGUUUGCAACUUGGUUCGGGCCAUGGAGGCCUGGUGGCCUCAGGCCUGUGUGAUCACUAAGCCUGAGUGUAAGAAGGUCUGUUCCAUCAUCCAAGAUGACAGGUCUCAAGUUGCCUCAGAAGAAGCAGAGUGUGUUUUGAAAUAUUCUUCAGUUUACAAAUCUUGAACCAAAAUGUUCUUGGCCAGCCAAGCCUUUAUAUAGUCUAUAUGGAUGCUGGUUAAGGCAGAUUCUUACAGAGACAGAACAUUGAAAUGAGGAUAAGGUAGGAGAAGAAACAGCCCCCUUUGCUUUGUUUUGUAUUUUAUGAGCUAUUUUUUUUUUUUAUUAUGACUAGGUGUUCUUCAAAGUUAAUUAGAUCAUGCUAAGUGUUAGAGAAGGGAAUACAUAUUAUUGGCUUUCUUUGAAAGGUUAUUUUUUUUGUUACAGUUUUCUUAAUUACACUGAUUAAAUAUUUCAAAAUUGGCCACCAAAUUUCGAAGCUUCCAUGCGAGUUACUCCUCCUCCCAAUGCGUGACCCAUUCAGAUUGAGUGUAAGCUAGGUGUUUGGUCAUAACUCUAUGCUUAAGAGAGACGUAAGACAAGUGACUCUUUGGGAAGAUAGGCUGGCACUUUGCUGAAAGUAAUACAUGUAGCUGUACAGAUACACGCAUUUCUUUGUAUUAGACCACCAGACACGGCAAAAUUACUGAAGAGGUUGUCAUAUUUACUUUCGUUUCAAAAACAAAUAGAGGCCCAGUUAAUCAGCAUAUCAAAUACCCAGCUGUGUUUAGAACCAGUUCCUGCCGAUAGAUUUCUUUAGGCUGGUAAGAACGUAUUUUAUUUAAAGGUACAGUCACUCAGUUGUUCAGACGGCUGCUUUUGUACUUUCUGUGUGACAAUUAACAUGUAAUGAAUGACUUUCUAGACUGCUAUUGGUAGUAAUUACUAUAUGUAGUUUAUUAGCUGCAGUCCAUUGUUGGAUGUGCCUGUAUUGAUUUGUUUUGCAAACAACCCUUCACACGUGUGGCAGCAUUUGGGCAUUACUGGGUAAAGAACCUGUUUCACUGGCUGAUGUUGCCGUUGCCUCUGGAAACUUCGGCUUGUACAUUCUUGUGUGGUAGGCUACCCCUUUGAUCAGUUAUCCUAGGUGAUUUUUAAAAUGGAAGCAUUUUUUUUUUCACUCUAAACUCUGACCCUUAGGGAACCCUAAAGAAAACCACACUCUCUUUACUUAUUUAUUUAUUUUUGCAAGGCGAUAAUUUGUGGAAAAUUGGGCUUACAGGAGUAUUUAGAGAUGCUCUCUAUUUUAUGAUAAAGUAUAAGGAUCCUGGGAAAGGGUUAAAUAUCUCUUUCCCAAAUCAUACAGGAGGUUCUAGCUAACACAGGGUAUUAAUACAUAGACCCCACCGUUCUAGACACAGUGGCUGUGCUGCUAUGAGUUAAGGGCUGACCUGCUCAGUCGUUAUCAACUAUAUACUUGCAAUGGGAAAAACAACAACAACAUAUAGUCUACCAUUUCUG